AGAACUUUGAAGAGAGAGUUCAAGAGUACGUGAAACCGUUCAGGGGUAAACCUGAGAAACCCGAAAGAUCGAAUGAGGAGAUUCAUCGUCAGCUCAUUUAGUAUAUAUAUUUGUUAUGAUAUGAGUUAUCCUCGUGAUGCUUAUACGUGCUUAUAUAUUUUAUUGCUAAAUGUUGUAGGCGUGCACUUCUCCUCUAGUAGAACGUCGCGACCCGUUGGGUGUCGAUCUAUGGCCCAAAUGGGCAGACUUUGAUUUUUUUUAUAAAAAUUAAAGACCAUUGGUGUUACUGAUCGGCUGCUUAACGGUAUACGCACGAUAUUGAGCCGCAAAUUUUAUUUGCGUCAGGCCCAUCGCAAGCGCGGUCAGUUAUAUAAUUUCCAGUAGUGCGGAUUUAAUGCCGUCACUGGAGCUGACCAGCUGUUGGUCGUAUGGUGUUCUUUGACUGGCUCGAAAAUAAUAUUAUCGGUCAGCGACGCUACUGCUUUGGGUACUUUCAGGACCCGUCUUG
rnacentral:rRNA from 1 species